AUUGAACGCUGGCGGCAUGCCUUACACAUGCAAGUCGAACGGCAGCACGGGAGUAAUCCCGGUGGCGAGUGGCGAACGGGUGAGUAAUAUAUCGGAACGUGCCCAGUCGUGGGGGAUAACGCAGCGAAAGCUGUGCUAAUACCGCAUACGAUCUACGGAUGAAAGCGGGGGAUCGCAAGACCGCGCGCGAUUCGAGCGGCCGAUAUCAGAUUAGCUAGUUGGUGGGGUAAAGGCCCACCAAGGCGACGAUCUGUAGCUGGUCUGAGAGGACGACCAGCCACACUGGAACUGAGACACGGUCCAGACUCCUACGGGAGGCAGCAGUGGGGAAUUUUGGACAAUGGGCGCAAGCCUGAUCCAGCAAUGCCGCGUGCAGGAUGAAGGCCUUCGGGUUGUAAACUGCUUUUGUACGGAACGAAACGGCCCUUUCUAAUACAGGGGGCUAGUGACGGUACCGUAAGAAUAAGCACCGGCUAACUACGUGCCAGCCGCCGCCGUAA
rnacentral:rRNA from 1 species